AAUGAAGUCUUUUUCAAAAAAUUUGCCGCUCUGCUGGAUACUGGCCGUCGCAUCUUGGGAGAUUAGAGGCUUUUCAAGAGACAAAAACCCAGAUGGGUAGCCCGGGUUUGAGGAUGUGACCUGACUGAUGCGCAAGAGAGCCCUUGAGGAUCUCACACUGGAAAGUGUACUGCAAGCUCUCGAAAUCCUCACGCGUUUUGUCUGCGGCCGUAGCCUACCUAGGGUAGGCCCAAUUUGUUCCUGACCCUAGCGUACGAACCCUGAGACGAGUCCGGGCCAAGAUAUGGGGACGCCCUGAGGCCCAGCUGCUGGGUUUGGGGGUAAACUGAGGAAAAGUGUUGAGCGGGGUAUCUGCAGUUCAAAGGUCAGAGGUCAGUGUAGCGAGUAAGGGUCGAAAGUAAGAGGGAUGUUAAGUGGAGACUGUAACAAGGACCAAUUAUUCAGAAGACAAAUUUGUGAGUAAGGGUUGUAGGUGGGAGAAGCCCGGAGGGGAAGAGCGCGGACAUAGUCGGCGGAGAGCAGCGAGACACAGGAAAGAAGAAGCGGAGAAUAGGAAUUCCCUGAUUAUCCAUUCCCUGAGUUCAGGCCGUCACUUGGCCCGGCCUUCCUCAGCUGCAAGCCCAGCUGGGUGAGGACAUGGCUUCUCCCUCUAGACAGCCAUCCCUCGGGGGGUCUGGGCUGCUUCAAGGGAGUCGGGCUCGUUCUUAUGGAAGCCUGGUGCAAUCAGCUUGCUCCCCUGUAAGAGAAAGACGCCUGGAGCAUCAAUUGAAGCCUGAAGACACCCUGGCUGGGCUGGCACUCAAAUACGGAGUGACGAUGGAACAGAUUAAGCGUGCAAACCGCCUUUAUACUAAUGACUCCAUCUUCUUGAAGAAAACCCUCUACAUCCCCAUCCUGACAGAGCCCAGAGACCUGUUCAAUGGUUUGGAUUCUGAAGAAGAGAAAGAUGGAGAGGAAGAGGUGCACCCAAGGAAAAAUGAAGCAAGGCCAUCUUCAGCAGAGAGAAGCAAACAAGAAAUGGGUUCAGAACCUGCCAAAGGUGACAGUGUCCCUCCCACACCUGGCCAGGACCCCCCUGGGCCCACCCAUGACCUCUCUGCCUCAGAUUUCCUUAAGAAGCUGGACUCACAGAUCAGCCUGUCAAAGAAGGUCGCCACACAGAAGCUGAGCAAAGGAGAAAGUGGGGUACCCAGGGAGGACGCACAUCUCCACCUGAGCUCCCCUCGGACCCAGCAACGAGCUGUCCUAGGUCCUGUGCCGCUGACUCGGACCUCUCGGACUCGGAUGCUACGGGACCAGGAGGAUGAAAUCUUCAAACUCUGAUGUUCCCUGAAUGGACUGAGAGAAGCAGAAUUUGGAAAGAACAACUUGAGGGAGAGAGGAGCCUGAGGCUGCCUUGCCCCAAGGAAAAGGAAGCUGAACUGGGAGCCCAAGAACUCUACAAGUGAGACCUCCAUGAUAUGGAAAGUUAAAGCUGAAGGAGUUCGGGGCCCUUCCACCACCAUGCUCCCAAAUCCACCCUCACGGACGGUCCCUCACCUGCCACAACGGGUGCCAGUCUUGGCGUGGAUGUCCCUGAGAGCUGACAGAAUGGAGAAGCGCCUAGCGAGAGGCACUUUGGCUUGGCCCCACCCCGCAGGCUCCGCCUACCCAGGCCGCUCUACCUCCGGGCCACCAGCACCAAGCAGCCCAUGGCCCAAGAGAAACCUAGAAGUAAGGCAGAGGUCUAGAGGAAUAGGGGUUUGUUGGAAACACCCUUGGCUCUUUGGGGUGAGGAGAAGGGGUUGCAUAUCUCCCGUCUCUCAAAGUGUUCCCUUCUUUCUUGUCACCCAUCUCCUUAAGACUGUAUUCUGUAUCUGUGGUACUGGGGAGGAUGCAAAGUCCAAGUUGAUGGGUUGGGGGCUCUUGGGGGAAGUUAGCAAGCUUGAAAGGGUGGCACUGUGGGACAACAUUAUCACAAGCAUCUUCCAGAGCCUGGAAAGCAUCUGGUAGAUAUCCCGCCAAUUAGUGCCCGAGGGCGGAAAUGCGGAGGCCGGGGCUGCCAAACCACCUGUGACCAGCAGGUGUCGGCACUGCACCGAAGCGCUACGGGAACAAACCUCUAAGGACCCGCCAAUGAGAAGUCAUGGUUCUUGAGCGAGGCAAAACUGUUUGCAAUCAAGAAUCUUGUGGGGCUGGGGAUUUAGCUCAGCGGCAUAAGGACCUGCCUUGCAAGCAGGCAGUCGUCAGUUUGAUCCCUGGUACCGAUAAAAACCAAAAAGACAAAAAAAGAAAAAGAAAAAAAAAAAAGAGUCUUGUGAUCUAGCUGGGGCUGGUGGCUUCAAGCCUCUUAACCUGCUAGUCAGGUGUUCUACCCCUAAGCAAUAACCCUCAGCUCUCCCAUUAACUUCAAUAGUUUAAAGAAUUACGAGAAUAUUUUAAGAAGCUUCAAUUGUCCUGAUUGGUACCAUUGCAAAUUCAAGGCCAACCUGUGAAAUAUAACCAGACCCUGUCACAGAAAAAGAGAGAAAAUAAACUUUUUUUUUGAAACCGA